GAAAUGCGAUAAGUAAUGUGAAUUGCAGAAUUCAGUGAAUCAUUGAAUCUUUGAACGCACCUUGCGCUCCUUGGUAUUCCUUGGAGCAUGCCUGUUUGAGUAUCAUGAAAUCUUCAAAGUAAAUCUUUUGUUAACUCAAUUGGUUUCUACUUUGGUAUUGGAGGUCUUUGCAGCUUCACACCUGCUCCUCUUUGUUCAUUAGCUGGAUCUCAGUGUUAUGCUUGGUUCCACUCGGCGUGAUAAGUUAUCUAUCGCUGAGGACACUGUAAAAGGUGGCCAAGGUAAAUGCAGAUGAACCGCUUCUAAUAGUCCAUUGACUUGGACAAUACUUUUAUGAUCUGAUCUCAAAUCAGGUAGGACUACCCACUGAACUUAAGC
rnacentral:misc_RNA from 1 species